UGCCCAAGAGACUGGGAUAACACCUGGAAACAGAUGCUAAUACCGGAUAACAACACUAGACGCAUGUCUAGAGUUUAAAAGAUGGUUCUGCUAUCACUCUUGGAUGGACCUGCGGUGCAUUAGCUAGUUGGUAAGGUAACGGCUUACCAAGGCAAUGAUGCAUAGCCGAGUUGAGAGACUGAUCGGCCACAUAGGGACUGAGACACGGCCCAAACUCCUACGGAAGGCAGCAG
rnacentral:rRNA from 1 species